CGCGUAGGUUGAUAUUUAAGUUAGAUGUGAAAUGUCUCGGCUUAACCAAGAGAAGUCAUUUAAUACUGGGUAUCUAGAGUGUAGGAGAGGGAAGUAGAAUUUCCGGUGUAGCGGUGAAAUGCGUAGAUAUCGGAAGGAAUACCAGUGGCGAAGGCGGCUUUCUGGCCUAACACUGACACUGAUGCGCGAAAGCGUGGGUAGCAAACA
rnacentral:rRNA from 1 species